rnacentral:rRNA from 1 species
CUCCUACGGGAGGCAGCAGUGGGGAAUAUUGCACAAUGGGGGAAACCCUGAUGCAGCGACGCCGCGUGGAGGAAGAAGGUCUUCGGAUUGUAAACUCCUGUUGUUGAGGAAGAUAAUGACGGUACUCAACAAGGAAGUGACGGCUAACUACGUGCCAGCAGCCGCGGUAAAACGUAGGUCACAAGCGUUGUCCGGAAUUACUGGGUGUAAAGGGAGCGCAGGCGGGAGAACAAGUUGGAAGUGAAAUCCAUGGGCUCAACCCAUGAACUGCUUUCAAAACUGUUUUUCUUGAGUAGUGCAGAGGUAGGCGGAAUUCCCGGUGUAGCGGUGGAAUGCGUAGAUAUCGGGAGGAACACCAGUGGCGAAGGCGGCCUACUGGGCACCAACUGACGCUGAGGCUCGAAAGUGUGGGUAGCAAACAGGAUUAGAUACCCUGGUAGUCCACACCGUAAACGAUGAUUACUAGGUGUUGGAGGAUUGACCCCUUCAGUGCCGCAGUUAACACAAUAAGUAAUCCACCUGGGGAGUACGACCGCAAGGUUGAAACUCAAAGGAAUUGACGGGGGCCCGCACAAGCAGUGGAGUAUGUGGUUUAAUUCGACGCAACGCGAAGAACCUUACCAAGUCUUGACAUCCCUUGACGAUGCUGGAAACAGUAUUUCUCUUCGGAGCAAGGAGACAGGUGGUGCAUGGUUGUCGUCAGCUCGUGUCGUGAGAUGUUGGGUUAAGUCCCGCAACGAGCGCAACCCUUAUGGUCAGUUACUACGCAAGAGGACUCUGGCCAGACUGCCGUUGACAAAACGGAGGAAGGUGGGGAUGACGUCAAAUCAUCAUGCCCUUUAUGACUUGGGCUACACACGUACUACAAUGGCGUUAAACAAAGAGAAGCAAGACCGCGAGGUGGAGCAAAACUCAGAAACAACGUCCCAGUUCGGACUGCAGGCUGCAACUCGCCUGCACGAAGUCGGAAUUGCUAGUAAUCGUGGAUCAGCAUGCCACGGUGAAUACGUUCCCGGGCCUUGUACACACCGC